GGUUUGAGGGAGCUGGGGUUUGGAGGUGGUGACGGGGGCUUGAUGGUUAGUCGUACAAAACAACAGGUGUCGGCUGCCACCAACACCCAUCGCUUGCCAUCUCCAAUUGGCAGUCUCUCGUUCUCAGGUUCUUGCCAGACAUGUCCUGACAAUCGCCCCUCUCUGUCAGUCUCUAGGUUUCAUUUUGUAGUCGCUGCAGCCAGAACAGUGGGUAUCUGAGCAUGCCCAGUUGUUUCUCACGUAAGCCAAGAACUGACUUCAGUCUCACCAGACGAGAAGAAACAUGAUUUCACAGAAGUAUACUUCAUAGCCCUCAUUCCCUUCUACAUGAAUGCAACCUCCUGGAUGUCGUCAUUGCUCUUUGAAAUCUCUGCUCAAAGAGUCCUAUUCAGUUUAAAGUACAUGGUGUAUUGGCAAGAAGAGAUAAAACUGCAAAGCUUUCAAUCACUUGAUAAAAGCAGAUGUACCUCUGUGAAAGUAGUAAUACAUGUAUGCUGUGAGGGUGGGGUUGUUCUAGAGGAACUUAAAUCCUCACAAGAGACUUUCUUUCAAAAACUCCACAAGAAUGUCAAUAAUGUCUUUCAUACAUGGAGAUGGUGUUUAUUUAAUCCAAGCCCCCUUAGUGGGAUUUUGAAAUUUGGCACAGUCAGAUGGCUCAUGCGGUUCUGAUCAGCUGUGUAGCACGUUGAGUGUUGCAUGCACCUGCCACAGUAUCAGAUGGUGAGUAAUCUCUGGGAUCGCUUUUGUCAUCAGUUCCGAAUGACGAGGGCUCUUCUCAGGCUUGUUAUCAUUUCCAUGUCAUCUCUCAAAGCUUGUGCUCACUUACUGAAUUGCCAGGGCUAGAAAAGAUGGACGUGUUCACUUGUAGUAACAUGUAGGUCCAGAGCAGGUCAAGGUUCCAAUCCCUCGCCAGAGCACAUGUUUUGAACAACAGCCACACUGCGUAGUAUUUACCGACUGAAGAAAACAACAUUGUACGUUUCACAUUAAGUUCAAGUCACUUAUGCUUGCCUACAGUGUGCUUGCUGGUUCUGCUCCCACCUACCUAAAUGCUCUUGUAAGGGCAAAUGUUACACCCAGGACGCUGCGCUCGUCUAGUGAGCGUCGUUUGGCACUGCCGUCUGUGCAAGCACGGCAAUCCAGACUAUUCUCAUUUGUAGUUGGUGGAACGAACUGCCUAGUACUACCAGAGCAGGGGCCUCCCUCUCUACCUUCAAGAAGCUUUUGAAGACCCAACUCUUCAGAGAGCACCUCCCUUCCUAACUGGCACCUGACUAGCGCUUAACUUGCACUUCAGCAGUUACAUUCCUGCACUUCUUUUUCCUUUUUUCUAGGUCGUUGUUUUCUAAUUCUCAUGUAAAGUAGUAUUUAUUGUUACACCAUGCUUUUUAUUGCUCUUAGCUUGACUGUUCUCUCCCUUGUACGUCGCUUUGGACAAAAGCAUCUGCUAAAUGACUAAAUGUAAAUGUAAAUGUAAUUAUGUAUGACCCAUGCCAGAGGAUCAAUUAAAUGGAAAUUGUAACAACACGUGAACACAGAGGCCAUGACCCAUGAAUGCGUUUUGUUUAUCGAUGUCUAAUUGUAGGGCUGGGAGGGGACGACAUGAAUCCCAAGGGCUUUUAAUAGUUUCAGAAAAUCAAAGUUAGAACUAAUCAAACGGUUUAGUAUCAGAUAUUCGGUUAAUCUUCAGCUUGAAAUAAAUUUGCAAGGAGUGACACAGCUACAGAGCCCGAAUUUAUGGUCUGUCAACACUGUCUGCAUUCCACACACCCAAAGCACUUUCAGUCAAUAGUAAACAAACAGAGAGUGUCUGCGCUCAAUCUAUUAGACAUUUCAUCAAAUAUUAUAGCAUUGUGGAUAAACCAUAUGUUUGCUGGCAAAGCAUAAUUUGGAGCUCAAACAAAGGAUGAUGUGAUGGAUGGAGAAAGAGGUUGCAAAUGGAAAGAUGUGUCUGCAACCGCUAAUUUGAUAAUUAUUGAAUCAUUAUCCACCUCGUCUCCCAGUUAAUUGACUAAACAUGCUUUUGGAUAUUAUGACAGGCUGACAGAGAAAAUGGUUUGGGCACCGAUUAUCUGUAUAUGUGGAUAUCUGUAGCCUAUUAUCUGUCGCCCUUCUGUUAAGACACAUUUAGACUGUCAGGGCUGACAGUUAGACACUGGAGCACUCAGUCAUAGUCUUCAUAGUCUUGAAUAACUUUGUUUUUAUCUGUUUUUAAACUUUCUUUAUUUCCCAGGCCACCCUUGCAGGGGGUUCAUUGACAAGGAUGCCUCUACCUGCAUCUUAUUUGCCUCCAUUUACCUCCAUAAUGCUAUCCUAAACCAUAACGCUUUCUAACUAGCAGAUAUUCAUCAGCAUUUACAUUUUUAACAUGUGCAACAAGUAUUUCAUCUGUCUGUCAAUAUGCUCUUUGCAUAAAUCGCUCCCAGCCAUCUCUGCUAUUCUGUCGCAGAAGCGAGGCAGAUGGGAUUCGCUCUUCCCUCGUCUAUCUACGCCACCUCUUUAUACUUCUGCUUUGGCUCUGAGGACACAGCCAUUCAAUUGCAACGGCAUUCGCCGAAUUCACACAGGAACGUGCACAAGAGGUUGACGGACAGGAAGAGAUCUCCGCUGCCCCUUCAGAAACACGCCAUGAGUGCGUCCUCAUAACAGCCCCUCAUGCAUAAUAACAAACUGUCUUCCACAAGUGUCACAGGCACGUUAAUGUGCUCACGAGCCCUGGGAAGGUACAUUUGAGGACAUGUAACCUCUUGUAUUGAGUUUUUUUUUUAAAUGUCCCAGUUUUAUUUGUAAAGGGGAAUAGUUUUUUGUUUCAAACUUUAUUGGUCCCCUUCCAUUUUCAUCAGCCUAAAUAUCUGCCAGUAGCAAGGUACUCUCAGUACAGGGAACAGGUAGGGUGCCAUCAAGGACAUAUACUGAUGAUGUGCCCAAAGGAAUGUAUUCAGCUGGUACUGUUGUUUACCUCAUUAUUCCUGUCUGGCUUGGCUGCUCUAAACGAACUGCCACUAAGGACAAUAGCCCAAGAAUUUUUUACCAUCUUUCUGUUAGCACUUGUUUUAUACUGACAGAGAAAGAGAGCAUUUGACAUCCUUCAUUACAAAACUAAUGAUUUCCUUGUUCCAGCGUUAAACAGAAUCAAGAGUGUGCAGUGGAUCACCGCUGUUUAGGAGCUUAUCGGAAGACCCACAGCUGGCAGAACAAGCUCUCUCGCUGGCCGAGAUAUCAAAUUGGAAAAUGGAUGGAGAGUAUUUUAGCAUAAUGACUGAUAUUAGUCAUUACACAGUAAUCAUAUGGUAGUCUAAAAAUCUUGUCAUAAUGAUCAUUGUCUUUAAAAUGGGUUUAUGUUGGACUCUAUGGCAGUUGACACAGAAUUGACAUGACAGCAGGUUUUUCUUUUCUU
ensembl:lncRNA